AGGAAAAGUACUCUGCAUGAUUUUUUUAGCAAAUGGAGCUGGUGUAUAUAGACACUUUAAAAUCUAUCUAAUUAGCGAUAAGUAACUGAAAUAAGGAAAAUAAUAUUUUUACAUUUAUACAUUAUAACAAAAUUAUAUAAUCAUUUAAUUUUAGUUAAAAUAUAUGAAAAAAUCCGGGCGUAGCCCGGAAAAAAUCUCUAGUU
rnacentral:lncRNA from 1 species